CUGUGUAUUUCAGGCUGUCCUUGAACUCACUAUGUAGCCCAGGCUGGCCUCUAACUCAUGAUGAUCCUGCCUCAGCCUCCCGAGUGCUGGGAUUACAGGGGUGCACUACCAUGCCUG
rnacentral:miRNA from 1 species